UGUCCUGCAAAUAUACACGGAAAGGGCAAGAUUACAGGUUAGUGAUAACAACGACCUUGCUGUGAUUGAAGACAAACUUGCUUGGAUUGUCCACAUCGUAGCCGCAAUUCUUAAGAUAAAACAGUGUACGGGUUGUAGCGUAGAAUCCCAGGAAGUGCUAGAUGCCGAAAUUUCAGCUCGGGUUCUGCAGUUGAUCAACGUAACUGACAGUGGAGUACACAGUCAGGUAUAC